GAAGAAAGCAAAGUCUUAACUUUGUUCUUCUUAGCCGAACCAAAAGGGAGAAAAAGGGGAGCAAACAUUCUGCCAUUUGAAACCUAAGGAAGGUUAGUAAAUCAUGUUAGAUUUUUGAAAUUCUAGUUUGUUUUAGGUUACUCAUCAUGCUACUUACUUAGCCCAUGCCAAAACUUUGAAUUUGGAUGGUUGAAUUGAACAUUCGGUUAUGGUAGAUAAGGAAGGAAUUUGAUUUUUAUCUUUAAGUUUUGAUGAAGAAAUUGUUGAUGAAAGAAGUUGAUCUUGUUAAAAACUAUAAUUUCUAAUACUCAUAUGUGUAAUAGCCGAACCUAGACUUUGCUUAAGGUCUUGAACAAAUGCCGAUUAAGUGUUUUGAAAUGGAUAAAUUAGGUGCUUGAUUUCCUAAAGGUUCGGCAUAGUACAUGAUAUUUUUGUUAGUAUGAUUUCGAAGAAUUUGAGUAAUGUUAUGUAUAAGUAAAAUUAUUAGGUACGGUCUUGGCAGUAUAUAUGUACAAUUGAUCUAUUUAGCUAAUAAUAUCUAGGGUGAUAAAUAAUUAAACAAUAUGUAUACAAAGAAUGUGUGAAAGAGUGAAUUGGCAAUAAUCUCUUUAGGACAGCAGCAGUAAAGUGAUUUUGGAAAAAUCACUAUAAAUUGUGGGAGUUGAGUUAGAAGUUGAAUAAAUUAUGUAAUUAAAGCUUGAUGAGUCUAGUUUCUUAUAAAAGAAACUAUAAAAGCAAAAGAAUUUCUGAUAAUGAGAUAAUUGAAGUAAUGUGGGACAGAGUCAAAAUGACUUCUAGAUCCCCUGUUCUGUUUUUAUAAAAUCACUAUAAAACGUAUAAAAAUAUUAAAAUGAUGAAAUUUAUAUGCUUAGACUCCUUAAUGAGUCUAGUUUCAAAUGAUAUAAACAAGGAAAUGUUUUGAAUUCUGUACAAUGAGUAAUUUAUUUCGUAGUGAAGAGUUGUCAGAUUAGUCAAACAGUGAAACAAGGGAAACUUUAAGAAAAAUCUGGUAUUGAUUGGCCAAACUAAAAAUUCUGAAAAUUUUAUGGAUAAAAUAUAUAUGAGUCUAUUUUCAGGGAAAUUUUACGGAAAUUGAUUUGGAGUUUCGUAGCUCCAGUUAUAAAUAAUUUAGUGACUGUUGCUCAAGAAGACAGCUUAUUGUGAAUUUGUGAUUAUGAGGUAAUCAUUGAUAAAAAUUUGUUAAGGAGUUGCUUAAUGUUUUCUUAUAAGCUUACUAUAAUCUGUAUGUGUGAAAGUCGAAUAUAUAUGUAUUAUAUUCUGAAAAUAAUAUUUGAAUAGUCGAUUAAUGUUUAGUUUAAAAUUUGUUGAAUUAAAGCUCAAGAGCAUAGGGGGGCAAUUUCGAAUAAGGGAAAAGAGAAAGCAAUCGAGUAGCCUAUCCGCAGUUGUUCAAAUAAAUCCGAGGUAAGUCUUUGAGUAAUGGAACUUAGCUUAUGAUUUGAUUAAACAAUGUUAUAUAUUUAUAUAUAUAGCACAAUAAAUAAAUUGUGACCUGAUGGUUUCUCUUGAUUUACAUAUUGAAAUAAAUGGGUAGUGCAUCAGCUUGUAAUCGAAUGGUUAUAGAAACUCAUGUAGAGUAGUGAAACGGAAUCGUGUCAUUUGUAUGAGCUGUUGAGCCGAAAAUGAAUGAUGGAUAAUCAUGUUGUGUUUGUGAUCUAAUAAUGUAAAUGAAUUGUUAAUGAUUUAUAAUAUAAAUAUAUUUUGUGCAUGACAAUUGAGGAUUAUAUCCGGGUUAAGUCCCGAAGGCAUUCGUGCUGGUUGCUAUUUCCGGGUUAAGUCCCGAAGGCAUUCGUGCUGGUUGUUAUUUCUGGGUUAAGUCCCGAAGGCAUUCGUGCUGGUUGUUAUUUCCGGGUUAAGCCCCGAAGGCAUUCGUGCUGGUCGCUAUUUCUGGGUUAAGCCCCAAAGGCAUUUGUGCUGGUUGUUACAUCCGGGCUAAAUCCCGAAGGCAAUUGGGUUGGAAAUGUGCGAUCUUGUCAUAAUAAUUUCUAUUGAUGGGCUUACAACCCUAAGAUGAUCAGGUAUGCACCGUAUAUACAUUGAAAUUAAGUUAAGAUUGACUAAGAGCAUGUAAGUAUAUGGGUUGAAGUGUGAAGUAACAUAAGUAUGUGAUUUUUGCGUAUUUGCAUUUAUUUAGCCUUGUAAUCGAAUUAGAUGUAUUCGGCAUAAUUAUGAGGUUAGUUGGGUAAAAAGAGAUUAUCUACAUGAUACGAAUUCGUGUUUAAGGAAAAAUUUAAGAUGACAUGUAUGAACGAUAGGGGUAUAUUUAAUCAUGACUACAUUUAGUCAGAAAGAUGAUGAGCCUUAUGAAUGCUAUGCUUUAGUUAUAAAUGAUUUCAUUACUUAAGACUUACUAAGCAUCGAAAUGCUUACUCUUUUUGCCUUCAUUCCCUGUUUUAUAGAUUUUGUUCGUGAACUAUCGGACUCGGGAGAUCCAAAGUCGAAGUCGUCCACACUUUCUAAACCUUUCGGUACUCUUGUAAAUGAACCUUGAUAAUGGCAUGUAUAGGAUUGACUUUUGAUGUUAAUUACGUAUCUUUUUGGUGAUGUAUAUAUUUAUAGCCAUGCGAAAAUGGCUUGUUAAGUUAUUAUAUGCGCUCCACAUAAUUAAUGUGUAUGUGUGGAUGAUAAUCGAUUAAUGUUUUAAAUGUUUUGAUGUGAAUUAAA
rnacentral:lncRNA from 1 species